rnacentral:pre_miRNA from 1 species
AAUAAGUAUUGUUUCACAUCAUUAAUGUUUAACAUUUAACCGUUUAUCUCAUUUAAAAAUUUUCUGUGAAUAAUAUUUUUAUUAUUGUUAGAUGAUAAAACAUUAGCAGUACUUAGUACUUUAUGUAUAACUAAUUAUUUUUAAUUUUUCUAUAAAUUUUUUAGAUAAGACGGAUAAUCAAACGUUAUACAUGGGUGCCCAUAGCUAUACUCAUU